AAGGACCUCCCAAAAGAAAACAGCAGCAUGUGGCAAGACACCAGCACAGGAUGUUUAAGGAGCCGUUUGUGUUUGUAAGACAAUGGGGAGAGUGGUUGCCAAUGGGCAUGGAGAUAUAAGUUGAGGCAAAAAGAAGAAAGAGGCUCAUUUACUGAGGUAUUUGGAUAUUAUCUUGUAAGCAAUGGGAUGUCAAAAGAGGCUUUUAAGCAUGGGAAAGGGAAAUCAAAUCUGCUUUUUAGGAAGAUGGCUCUGGAGAAAGAGCAGAAAACAAAGUGAGGAAAAAAGUACCUGAAAUUCAAUAUAAUGUUUUUCUGCAGAAGUACAGACACAAAUCACUGGAUUUGGAUAUGGAGACUGUGAAGAGGAAGCCAAUGACCCUCAGUUUUCUAGUUUUGGAAACAAGUGGAUUAUACACCAUUAUUCAAGAUUGAGACAACUUGCUUGAUGGUACCAACAGGACCGUGGGUAUUUCUCUACCAUUAGGGAACUUUUAAUCUACUAGAGAGAUGGAUAUGGAUACAGUGGCACAAGAAAGAAUGCAACGAGAAUUAUGAGAUCAGCAUAAAGUACUACCAAGUGCCAAGGAGAAAGACUUUGAUCCUGACUAUACUUACGCUGGGUCUGUGUCUCUGCAAUUCAACUCUGAGCUCCGUGAGGUCAGGAGCUGGGUGUUUUUCAUCAUUGAAUUUGUGAACCUAACACAGUGUCUGACACUUAACUGACAUUCAGAAAAUAUUUAUUGAUUGGAAAUGGUUGUAAAUAGAUUAACAGAGAAGCUUGUUGUACGUAAAACUUCAGUAAAAAGUACUUGUCAAUCUCAAUUAAUUUUCUUAUACUCUAAUAGAGAAACAAAGUGACUGAAAACAAAUUCAGUUUCAAAAGAACAUGGAUAAUAAAAGUUAAUGUAUGG
rnacentral:lncRNA from 1 species